CUCCGGUGGCUCUUCUUUCCCAAGGCAGCUGAGCAUCUCCCUCCAACCCACAGCCCUGUGGCACUCCCAGAUUUGGUGCCUAGACCCUCUUUCCAAAACAGUUCCUGAUGUCACUGGUUUCUGCACUGCUGCUGGAGGAUUAUCCAGCAGUAUACUUGUGUUACAGGGAUUCUGAGCUGUGGCAAUUUGAGAAUCAGUGACUGCUAUCAAGAAAAAAAAAAAAUCAUCAAAAAGUAGCAGCGGUCCUUUCUCCAUGGAAAAAUCAACACUUUCUCUCUCAUUGGCCAUGAGUGCUGCAUGAUCUGCCAGCAGACCUGCACGUAUCUUUACACCUUUCUGAUUAAAGCAACGAUAUCACUGUUCCAAUGCCCGAAAUUUAAAUCUAGAUUGUGACAUUUACGCUGGCUAAGACUGAAGACAAAAUGAAUUGGAUCACUGAUGUUUCAAAGGUGCUAUUCUUCCUCUUACCUUACAACAGAACCACAAUGACACAUCUCUAUCCAAAACUGCAUGUCACAGCUCUUGUUGGACGUUGUUCCUGAUGCAGAGCCCAUUUUCUGUGAAAAACACCACAUAACAUCUGUUCAUAAACAGUCCUUCUGUGAGAACACUGACACAGGUCUUGAGCUUCUACUGGCUCAAUUCCCCUGCCAUACACAGAUGGCAUGAGGUAUUUAUACAGCUGAAUUCUUUGUAAUACAAGCUCAACUAUAUCUUCAGGUAAGACCAUGGGCAAACGUGCUUAUACUAUUCCACUGACUUACCUCAAGUCAUUUAAACUGUUCCCUCUGACACAAAGACAAAUUGUAUUGUACUGUUACGCAAGUGUUUUGUCUCAAAAUCACCUUCAGCAAUCAGCACAGAGCUCUGCAGAGAUAAGGACGUUUUCGGACACACAAAACCCGCCAAGUUUCAUGUUAAUGAGCUAACGGUUAUAUUAAGAUCCAAGACUCAGGGCUAUUCUCCUUGAUUUUGAUGUAUGUGUUUUCCUUUUAUGAAAGAUAUUUGUUUUGAUGAUAUAAUUCUUUGUUCUUUUGCACGUGAAAUAUUAAAUAAAGAGUCAAACUCUGGCAUUCAACUUUCACAUAUAUAGCAAUGGAGCAUGCAGAUUAGCCACAGUUUUCUAUAUUUCUAUAUCGAUUAUUCCCUCAAAGCAAUUCUGAGUGAAAAAUACUCUACAAUACAUUCAGAAAUUGCUUUCCUAUUUUUUUCCAUGAAAUUAUGGAAGGCUUCACUUGACUUCUGAAGAAAUCUAGGUACCAUGAGACCAUCUGCCAGACAACAUCCGAGUCCUACGCACACAUAUGCCCAUGCUUUCACUGUGGUUUGUAUACACGGAAGAAAUAAAGCAUAUAGAUAGAGAUUUGCAAGGUGAGAGCCUUGAAAACUGAAAGGUUCUAAACCAAGAACAGCCUUGUUGGUGUUUUGAAGUAGGGGAAGAGAAAAGUAAACUUUGGCCAAAAUUUCAAACAUUUAAUUGAAUCUGCUUCAUUUGUUCUUCCCAUAUCUCGACCUCUAGCGAGUUUCUGAAGUCCACAUUGGUGAUUUAGGAGAAUAUAAUCUACAUAAAGGUAUGGGGAAAAAAAAUUCAGAAUUCUCAACAAAAGAGCCCUUUAAUGAGGAUACAUACUGAUAAGUCUUUGAAAAAAAGAGACAUAUUUUAGGUCAUUCUUUCAAGUAGAAGUAGUAUAUACCUGCAGGGGGCUGGCGACCAACAGCUUAAACUAUACAUGGAUUCUUAUUUUACCUAGAGAACAUUUAAUAAAAAGGUUUCUCUGGGAACUACUCAGCCUGAAGAAUAAAUCAAAAUGUACUUUCUCUGUUCACGGAAAGCAUGGGACGUGUUUCAAGUAACCUGUGUCUGUGUGCUGGUUCGGUGACCCCACGAAGGUGGGCUACAUCAUGCACAAGAAGGUAAAAUACUGGUCCUCGUGAAAAGCAACAAAGCUCCUGUUGUGUGUAAUGGGACUGGGGAAUCCUUGAAUGAGCCCAAUGCAUCUCCAUUAACCCCAGAGCUCUACUGGUAGUUGUGCCUCCCUUGGCACUUAAAAACCGAAGAGAAGGCUGGAUUUGUAUAUUGGCGCUCACAGCUCCAGUAUCUAGAUGGAUAGACAGGUUUAACAGGGAAAGAGGUGUCCCACAGCAGGGGAACAAAAUCAGUUAGAAAUUUUAAGAGUGGCAGUUAAAACAGUAAAAUAAAUCUGGUUCUGUUUUCAGCUGCACCACAGAUUCCCCGCACAGCACAGGCAUGUCACCGAACCACACUGUCUUUGAUCACUGUCUGUAAAUGGGAACAUUACUUGUGUUUUCUGGUCUCUGGAAGAUGUGAAAUAAGCCCAUUUAUGUUUGUGAUGUGUUUAAACAUCAUAGCCAUCAAAAAGCCAAUGAAUAAUGUGUCCUCACUAAAUGUCUUUAUAAUACCUUUUUAAAAUUUGGUAGUUUCUUGGUUACACUUGCCUUUUUGUUAAGAUGAUGAGAAAAAUACAGUUAAAUACAGAUAAGUUUUAAGAGAUUAUGUGGAAAUGGAUGCUACUUGCUUUUUUUUUGUACUUUAUUAUAUAAGAGUUAACUCCGAAUGAUACCAAAUGCAUCAUUCAAUUUAAAUAUUGUGCUUGCUUAUGGCCUGUAAUAUGAUCCGAUGCAUUGUAAGCAAUGUCUUGACACAGUAUAUGUGAUGAAUACAACUCAGUGCAUCAAACACCAGCUGUACUAAAUCCACAGUAAUGCUUCCUUUUUGUAAGUUCUUUAUGGUCUAGCAGUUUUCAUUUUUAUGGUAAGUAAGAACCAAACCAGCCCAAGACGUGUUCCACCAAGCACUUGUUCUUUUGCAAGAAUCAGUCGUCCAACAUUUAUCAAUUCAGACCUGUAAACUAAAUAACGCAGAGAAUAAUUUUAUAACACUGAUACUAAGAAAACAUAAUUCUCCAAAUAUAAUUUGACCUGCUUCUUACUUAGCACUGAGUUGUUUUAAUUUUUUUCUUCUCUUUAAAUUCUCCUCCCUGCUACCAAGCAUUAUUUUACUCAAAUGGUUUCAACUGCACUUAAUGCACAUUAUAAUGAUCAUGUCUUUAGCUUUAUUCUUUUGAAGUUCUUUUUAAUUACAAAAUAAUAUCCUGUUUGAAGAACACAGCUUUGAUAUUUCCCUCCACAUUUAGUAAUUAUUAACUCAGUCUUAUUAUCAAUAUAUUUUGUAUAUUGUUAGUUUGUUGGGUUUCCCUAUUUAUUUAU